rnacentral:rRNA from 1 species
GACGAACGCUGGCGGCGUGCUUAACACAUGCAAGUCGAACGGAAAGGCCCUGCUUGCAGGGUACUCGAGUGGCGAACGGGUGAGUAACACGUGGGUGAUCUGCCCUGCACUUCGGGAUAAGCCUGGGAAACUGGGUCUAAUACCGGAUAGGAGCCAUUUUUAGUGUGAUGGUUGGAAAGUUUUUUCGGUGUAGGAUGAGCUCGCGGCCUAUCAGCUUGUUGGUGGGGUAAUGGCCUACCAAGGCGGCGACGGGUAGCCGGCCUGAGAGGGUGGACGGCCACAUUGGGACUGAGAUACGGCCCAGACUCCUACGGGAGGCAGCAGUGGGGAAUAUUGCACAAUGGGCGCAAGCCUGAUGCAGCGACGCCGUGUGGGGGAUGACGGCCUUCGGGUUGUAAACUCCUUUCGCUAGGGACGAAGCUUUUUGUGACGGUACCUAGAGAAGAAGCACCGGCUAACUACGUG